rnacentral:rRNA from 1 species
UGCAGUCGAGCGAACUGAUUAGAAGCUUGCUUCUAUGACGUUAGCGGCGGACGGGUGAGUAACACGUGGGCAACCUGCCUGUAAGACUGGGAUAACUUCGGGAAACCGAAGCUAAUACCGGAUAGGAUCUUCUCCUUCAUGGGAGAUGAUUGAAAGAUGGUUUCGGCUAUCACUUACAGAUGGGCCCGCGGUGCAUUAGCUAGUUGGUGAGGUAACGGCUCACCAAGGCAACGAUGCAUAGCCGACCUGAGAGGGUGAUCGGCCACACUGGGACUGAGACACGGCCCAGACUCCUACGGGAGGCAGCAGUAGGGAAUCUUCCGCAAUGGACGAAAGUCUGACGGAGCAACGCCGCGUGAGUGAUGAAGGCUUUCGGGUCGUAAAACUCUGUUGUUAGGGAAGAACAAGUACGAGAGUAACUGCUCGUACCUUGACGGUACCUAACCAGAAAGCCACGGCUAACUACGUGCCAGCAGCCGCGGUAAUACGUAGGUGGCAAGCGUUAUCCGGAAUUAUUGGGCGUAAAGCGCGCGCAGGCGGUUUCUUAAGUCUGAUGUGAAAGCCCACGGCUCAACCGUGGAGGGUCAUUGGAAACUGGGGAACUUGAGUGCAGAAGAGAAAAGCGGAAUUCCACGUGUAGCGGUGAAAUGCGUAGAGAUGUGGAGGAACACCAGUGGCGAAGGCGGCUUUUUGGUCUGUAACUGACGCUGAGGCGCGAAAGCGUGGGGGAGCAAACAGGAUUAGAUACCCUGGUAGUCCACGCCGUAAACG